AGAUGGAAAAUAAAGUUGAUGAAUCUUUAAAACCGGGAAACAGCUUACCAGCUUCUGAGUGCUGUAGGUCUUAAAAAACGUUCCAGAAUGUUAGGAAAGACAAUUCAGAACAGUCUGAUGUCUUUAACACCUGAAAGGGAAGGGCAAUUUUCCUCCCUGACUAUACUCCUGCUUUAUAAAUUUGUCAAAAGCAAAAAGAGGAUGCAGGUACUGCUUGGAGCACAAUCGUGAGGUUAAUGUUCUGAUGAGACAAAAUGAUGGAUCAAGGGCGACAAAGUGGCCUUGGAAGAUAGAGAAUUGGAAUCCUAAUAAGAAUGCCAGCUGCUGUAUCAUGAGGACAUUCAAGUAGCACCAUGGAGUACAUGGACAGGAACCAAACUGUUGGCACCAACAUGUUAGCCAAAUGACAAAGCCAUUUUAAAAGGGGAUCUUCCAACUCCUAGCCUUUGAGUCUUUAAGCUAAAGCCUCAAAUAUCAUGUAGCAGAGACAAGCCUUUCCCACUGAGUCCUGUCUGCAUUCCUGACCCACAGAAACCAUGAGAGAUACUAUUAUUAGUGCUUUACGGCAAUACAUUUUGGGGUUAUUUGUUAUGUAGCAAGAGAUAGUAAAAAGUGUCUGGCCCGCAAUAAGUUCCCAAUAAUCCCAUUGAAUUAAAGGAUAAAUGUAAGCAGAUUGCUUUCCCAGGGUACUCAUUUAUUAACCUAAAUGAAACUGUUGAAAAAGCCUUAGCUCUAUAUCCUCUUUGGUUUUGGAGUCUCAGGAUGGGGGCUUGAGUCUUGGAUCUGUGACUUAUUUGCCAUUUGACCUUGAAUAAUUCACUUCCAGUCUUUGGUUCUUGGUUUUCCUAAUCUGUAACCUAGAUAUAACAAUAACAGUUAUAAUUAUGCUACUAACAUAAACCACCAACUUGGAAGAGUCUUGUCGACCAUGCAGACCCCUGGAUCAGGGCUCUCCUAAAACCCAUGCCACAGCUAGAAUUGCCCAUUAUGUGAACAAAUAAACCUUCUUUAUUACCGUUUAAGUCAGUUCCAUUUGUUGGUGUC